GCAUCGAUUUAGUUCACCCCAUUCUAACCUUCUGUGCAAGGUUGUUCGGCUAACAUUGAGUUCCCUUGCUAGAGCUCUGACUGUUUUUCUUCUAUUCAAUGGGAUUGAGGUUACCCUGGAGAGCUCUAGAUCUUUUCUCUUACGUCCAACUCUGCCUUUUUUCUUCGAUGAAACAUCUACUUCUUGCCCUGCUGCAAUUUGUAGUCGUGCUUCUUUCCAGAUUUUUUCAACUGUACUUAGACUUGUCUUUAAUAGACCAGCAACAAGCUCCUUGUCUUUUUUAUCCACCUUUCCAUCUCUGGUCUGUAUAAAUUGCAUUGCAAAGUAAGCUCCAAAUCUUGCUUGGUCUGAUAGGUCUUUUCCAGAUGGCUGCCCAACACCUCCUGCAUCAUUGACGACAUAGCCGUUAUCUCCUUCGAGUACUUCCACUUCAACCAUGAUGGAACUGCAUGACAAGAAGAACAGAUAAGUACUCCCUCCGUUCCGGAAUAUGCUUGUGCAAAUCUGAUGAUGAUGCUUGUGCUUGUGCAAAUCUGAUGAUGAUGCUUGUGCUUGUAAGAACUACGCUUGCAAAUCUGCUGAUGUUUGUGCUUAUGCUUGCUUGCAAUAUUUGAGUUACUCAAUUCUUAGUCUUAGUUUCUUGUGCUAAAAUUGUUAUACUCCAUGAAAGUAAAUUUGCUCUAUUGUUGUGAAGGCUUAUCGGUACUUGGUUAAUACUCCAUCGCCGCAAUUUAGGAGUACAAGAUGAGUGGAUGUUUAAGAUGGCGUGGUCAUCUUCCAUCGUGCCAUCACGCACAAGCUCAACCUCAUGGUGUUGAGGAAGAAGAUACUGUAGAAACUGAAGGUUGGGGCCAAUCUGAGGCAGGUAGCGGAGCUGCCGUUCCGGCGGCAUGGCAAGCUGGGGCAAGGCGAGGUGAUCUGCGGCCGGCGGAGGCAGGUGGCGGAGCUGUCGCUCCGGCAGCGCGGCGAGCUGGAGCAAGCGGAGGUGGUUGGCGGAGCAACCACUCUGAGGCAGGUGGCAGAGCUGCUGCUGCUCCGGCAGCAUCUCGAGCUGGAACAUGGCGGGGUGAUCUGCGGCAGGCGGAGGCAGGUGGCGGAGGUGCUGCUCCGGCAGCAUGCUGAGGCUGAGGUCCAGCGAGCUCGGAUUGCUGGCGAGCUCGGAUCAAUGGCGAGUUGGGGGCCAUAUUAGACGUAUCGCAGGUGUUGGCGUUCUUGGCGAGCUGGACGAAGGUGCUUGAUCGAUCCCAGCGAGCGAAAGAGGUGCGCUGGAUCGAUCCCAGCUAGUGAGCGGAGGAGGUGCGCUGGAUGGCCCAGCUAGUGAGCGGAGGAGGUGCUGGAUUGAUCCCAGCUAGCGGUGGCGCUGGAUCGAUCCCAGCAGCUGGGAUCCAUCAGCGAGCGGAGGUGCUGGGCACUAGCGGGAUGGAUCUAGAUCUAAGCGGAGAGGUGGAUUGAGAUGUAAAGAUUUCAAAAUAUUUCGGACGAAAAUGUAAUUUACCUUUUCUGAAACGUUUUCCCCUCCCUAAGUUAAUUAAAUCGGGACGGAGGGA